GUAGGUGAACCUGCGGAAGGAUCAUUAACACGUAUCCACGUAUCAAAACCCCUCUGUGCAAACCUCUUCGUAAGGCUUGAUUGGAGUUGUAUUCACUCGAUCUUAAUGAUGGGAGUCUCCUCUCUCUUUUUGAGAAGGGGGGACCCGGGAUCUAUGAGUGUUUACCGCGUUUGACAAUCGGGCCGCUAUUUUUCCAUCGUUAGCCCUUUCUAACUUUUAACCCCUUGUACUUUUUUGUACUGAACCAAUU
rnacentral:misc_RNA from 1 species